UUAAUUUGAGGUUGAAACCUUGAGUGCAAAAGCUUAGUUGCCCAUGAAAAUUUAAUUGCUCCCAUUUGGAAUAUAGAAACAUUAUAUGCCCAGAUGCAAUGUAUUGGAGAAGGGGACUCUUAUGGCUAAUGAUUUUUUUUUGGAUAGUAUGUAGUUUGCAAUCAGUGGCUCUAGAGGUAUGCAGGAAUUCGGAAGAUAUGCUGGUGUGAAUGUGAUUGUUAUGAAAGAGCACAAAGCUGUAGGCCAGUACAUAACUGUUUGUGUUGACUGGGGUAUUUGGAGUAUUUGCUUCCCUUUGAAAAGUAGCUGUCAAACAAUUAAGUACCAUCUAACGUAGCUUUUUUUGCCUUAUCAGAAACUCUAGGACAGAUCCUAAGACUACAGAUUCUAUAGUUGCCAUUACUCACUGUUUUUCCCCACCACCGCAACACCCAAUAGCCAACCUCUUCUUAGUCUAUGUCAAUCAUCUUACUAAGCACCUCCAUUACAAGAAUAAACAAAAUUAGAGAUAACGUUAAAGAACCCAACAGGGCUUCCAUUGGUAAGAGCAGAAAGUAUGACUGAGGAUAUACAUGAGCCUGUCCAUUUUUCCCCAAAGCCAUAUCUCUAGCAGAUAGAGGAGGGUCUCCCAGUUAACAUGAUCAAAUCUCCUUUCAAUUUCUAAUUUGCAAAUAACUCCAGGACUCUUGCUACACAUUUUCACUGUAUUUAACACAAAUCACAUAUUAUAUUCUGAAUUGUGCAGUUAAUCACUAGACACUAUCCAUUAGCAGAUACACCUAUUUAUUCAAUAUUCAAGUAAUGACUUGGGUGUCAUUACUUGCACUCUUACUUAAUGCCAUCUUGCCUUUUGGAUCAACUGUGGUUAUAAUGCAUAUUUUGGAGUCGUCUUAUGCAGCUAUACAAAGCUCAAAGGAAUAUCAUUUUGUGUGCGGCAACAAUUCUUCUAUAUUGGUCUGUGUACCGCAUCUGUAAGUUUUACAAGGAGAUUCAGAGCUUGGCGGCAGCGCAGAAGAGAGACUCCAAAACCUGUGGUGAAGAAAGAUUCAAAGGGUAAAUCAGUAUCUGAUUUGAACAGGUUUGCUGAUUUGAUUAGAAGUAAGAGGAAACCUAAAAGAAUAACCUUUAAAGGCUGAUACAGAGUUGAAAGAAGAAGUAAAGCACCUCAAAAGCAUGCUCGAACAACAAGCUAUUCAAAUGGCAGAACAAAGAAGACAUUUUGGGGAACAACAAGCUACUCAAAUGGCAGAACAAAGAACACAUUAUGACAAUAUGAUGAUGCAAAUGUUGAGUUAUAUCAUCUCACAAUCAGCUCAAUCUAGUAGUUAUCACUAAGAUCUUCACUCAAUUGGUGGUUUGGUUCCUCCCCUUGGUUACUUGAAAAACUCUUACUCAAAUAUUCGUGCAAAGGUGGCAGAAGUUGUAACAAUUAUUGUCCAGAAUAAUCCCUAUAGUCAACAACUAGUCAUGGGAGCAAAUGGUUUAGAACCUCUCCUUUCUAAUUUUACUUUAGACCCUGAUGUGACCGUUCGAACCAAAGCACUUUGGGCAAUAUCUUGUGUUUAUAAUAAGGAUGGUGAAUUGUGGCUUAAAAAACUGUUAAUUCAGUUCUUCAGCUAAAUGGAUUUAUCUUCUAUAUUUGUAUUUAGUUAUAGUACAUUGGACUUUUGAUU